rnacentral:rRNA from 1 species
UGGGGAAUAUUGGACAAUGGGCGAAAGCCUGAUCCAGCCAUGCCGCGUGUGUGAAGAAGGUCUUCGGAUUGUAAAGCACUUUAAGUUGGGAGGAAGGGCAUUAACCUAAUACGUUAGUGUUUUGACGUUACCGACAGAAUAAGCACCGGCUAACUCUGUGCCAGCAGCCGCGGUAAUACAGAGGGUGCAAGCGUUAAUCGGAAUUACUGGGCGUAAAGCGCGCGUAGGUGGUUUGUUAAGUUGGAUGUGAAAUCCCCGGGCUCAACCUGGGAGCUGCAUUCAAAACUGACUGACUAGAGUAUGGUAGAGGGUGGUGGAAUUUCCUGUGUAGCGGUGAAAUGCGUAGAUAUAGGAAGGAACACCAGUGGCGAAGGCGACCACCUGGACUAAUACUGACACUGAGGUGCGAAAGCGUGGGGAGCAAACA